AAGAAAUUAAAAACUAUAAUGGCAAUGAAACAUAUCGGGUUUCCACCAAAUUCCAACUCUGCUAUAGUCAUUAUGCCUUUGGUCAUCUUUUGAUCUCGCUUUCAGAAGAAAAGUGACUGAUUUGCUGGGAAAAUGUGAAGUGAGAUUGAAGCUGAUGAACUUAAGUGAAUGUGAAGUUCAAUGAGUGUGAAGAUGAAUCUGAAAUGAAUUGUAAGGUGAGAGUGAGGUUGAAUGACAUUGAGAGGAGAGUCUGUGUGGUGUGAAUUGUGUUUUUCAGUGUUGAAAUUAAG
rnacentral:lncRNA from 1 species